rnacentral:rRNA from 1 species
UACGGAGGAUGCAAGCGUUAUCCGGAUUUAUUGGGUUUAAAGGGUGCGUAGGCGGGAACUUAAGUCAGUGGUGAAAUCCUGCAGCUUAACUGUAGAACUGCCAUUGAUACUGAAUUUCUUGAGUACGGUUGAAGUAGGCGGAAUGUGUAAUGUAGCGGUGAAAUGCUUAGAUAUUACACAGAACACCGAUUGCGUAGGCAGCUUACUAAGCCGAAACUGACGCUGAGGCACGAAAGCGUGGGGAUCGAACAGG